UACGAAGGGGGCUAGCGUUGUUCGGAAUUACUGGGCGUAAAGCGCACGAGGCGGGUUGUUAAGUCAGGGGUGAAAUCCUGGAGCUCAACUCCAGAACUGCCUUUGAUACUGGCAACCUAGAGACUGGAAGAGGUUAGUGGAAUUCCUAUGUAGAGGUGAAAUUCGUAGAUAUUGGGAAGAACACCAGUGGCGAAGGCGGCUAACUGGUCCAGCUGACGCGAGUGCG
rnacentral:rRNA from 1 species